UACGUAGGGCGCAAACGUUGUCCGGAAUUAUUGGGCGUAAAGAGCUCGUAGGCGGCUUGUCACGUCGGGUGUGAAAUCCCCAGGCUUAACCUGGGAACUGCAUUCGAGACUGCAUUGCUAGAGUAUGGGAGAGGGAAGUGGAAUUUCCGGUGUAGCGGUGAAAUGCGUAGAUAUCGGAAGGAACAUCAGUGGCGAAAGCGACUUCCUGGACCAAUACUGACGCUCAUGUGCGAAAGCGUGUGGAGCAAACAGG
rnacentral:rRNA from 1 species